CAGGAUGAACGCUGGCUGGCGUGCUUAACACAUGCAAGUCGAACGGUGAACACGGAGCUUGCUCUGUGGGAUCAGUGGCGAACGGGUGAGUAACACGUGAGCAACCUGCCCCUGACUCUGGGAUAAGCGCUGGAAACGGCGUCUAAUACUGGAUAUGUGACGUGACCGCAUGGUCUGCGUUUGGAAAGAUUUUUCGGUUGGGGAUGGGCUCGCGGCCUAUCAGCUUGUUGGUGAGGUAAUGGCUCACCAAGGCGUCGACGGGUAGCCGGCCUGAGAGGGUGACCGGCCACACUGGGACUGAGACACGGCCCAGACUCCUACGGGAGGCAGCAGUGGGGAAUAUUGCACAAUGGGCGAAAGCCUGAUGCAGCAACGCCGCGUGAGGGAUGACGGCCUUCGGGUUGUAAACCUCUUUUAGCAGGGAAGAAGCGAAAGUGACGGUACCUGCAGAAAAAGCGCCGGCUAACUACGUGCCAGCAGCCGCGGUAAUACGUAGGGCGCAAGCGUUAUCCGGAAUUAUUGGGCGUAAAGAGCUCGUAGGCGGUUUGUCGCGUCUGCUGUGAAAUCCCGAGGCUCAACCUCGGGCCUGCAGUGGGUACGGGCAGACUAGAGUGCGGUAGGGGAGAUUGGAAUUCCUGGUGUAGCGGUGGAAUGCGCAGAUAUCAGGAGGAACACCGAUGGCGAAGGCAGAUCUCUGGGCCGUAACUGACGCUGAGGAGCGAAAGGGUGGGGAGCAAACAGGCUUAGAUACCCUGGUAGUCCACCCCGUAAACGUUGGGAACUAGUUGUGGGGUCCAUUCCACGGAUUCCGUGACGCAGCUAACGCAUUAAGUCCCCGCCUGGAGACCCCGACUGCU
rnacentral:rRNA from 1 species